rnacentral:rRNA from 1 species
CACUCCUACGGGAGGCAGCAGUGGGGAAUAUUGCACAAUGGGGGAAACCCUGAUGCAGCCAUGCCGCGUGUGUGAAGAAGGCCUUCGGGUUGUAAAGCACUUUCAGUAGGGAGGAAGGUAGUGUAGUUAACACCUGCAUUAUUUGACGUUACCUACAGAAGAAGCACCGGCUAACUCCGUGCCAGCAGCCGCGGUAAUACGGAGGGUGCGAGCGUUAAUCGGAAUUACUGGGCGUAAAGCGCAUGCAGGCGGCCUGUUAAGUCAGAUGUGAAAGCCCGGGGCUUAACCUCGGAAUUGCAUUUGAAACUGGCAGGCUAGAGUCUUGUAGAGGGGGUAGAAUUUCAGGUGUAGCGGUGAAAAUGCGUAGAGAUCUGAAGGAAUACCAGUGGCGAAGGCGGCCCCCUGGACAAAGACUGACGCUCAGAUGCGAAAGCGUGGGGAGCAAACAGGAUUAGAUACCCUGGUAG